rnacentral:rRNA from 1 species
UACGAAGGGGGCUAGCGUUGUUCGGAAUCACUGGGCGUAAAGCGCACGCAGGCGGAUCGAUAAGUCGGGGGUGAAAGCCCGGGGCUCAACCUCGGAAUUGCCUUCGAUACUGUCGGUCUCGAGUCCGGGAGAGGUGAGUGGAAUUCCUAGUGUAGAGGUGAAAUUCGUAGAUAUUAGGAAGAACACCAGUGGAGAAUGUGGGUCACGGGCCCGGUACUGACGGUCAGGUGCGAAAGCGAGGGGAGCAAACAGG